UGAAGAAAAGUGGGGGGGGGGAUUUACAGUUGGAAUGAAAGCUCAUUUUUUACCGGAAGUUGGAAACACUAUUCUCUCUUUCAUAGGUCUACAAGUUGUCGACACGGACAUACUGUGUUUCUCCACUGCUAACAGUUUAUGAAUACUAAAUACAAUAUAUUGAAGAAAGAUAAAAACUUGGAUAAAGUAUAAUCACCUUCAUGAUUACAUAUGGCCUGUGUGUUUAUUGAAUGGAAGCCUUUCCGGUUCACAUUCACGGGCUCGUGCUCACUGGGGCCCAUGAUGCGGACGUGGGUACCAUCGAUAGCACCAAUCACACCAGGAAAUUUGGCAAUGGCAUAAAAGCCCUUCUUGAUGUUGGACUUCUCUCCUUCUGUGGAUGACCACUUUAUAAAACGUGAGACCAAAUCGGUCAGGGCUUGGGAUGCAUCGUGGAUACUUCGAGAAACACUUGACUUGUGGAAAGCCAGUGUAUCGCCUAUAGUUUUCAUGUUAUCACCUGUAGCGUAAUAUCGUAGAGCCAUCUCGACCUGACUGAGAGCUGACAAGGAAUAUGAGCGCAAUGUUGGACGGCACAACUCGGGUUCUAGUAGAUCAGUGAUGCAAUUAACUGACUCUUUACUAAACCUAUACCUUUCUUUGUAUUCACUGUCAUUGAAAUCGUGAUUAAAAUGUCUGUAAACUCUUGUUUUCUUAUGUCGUAUGCCAAGGUCAACAUCAAACAGCAAGCGGGCAGCCAUGUUUAACCACUGGUUAAAAGACUUAACCCACCUCUGCAGAAUGGCUAACUUUGGACAAAACUUAACCACUGGUUAGGCAAUUUAACCACUGGCUAACUUUUGAGCAACAUAAUUUAACCAUUGGCUAAAAGUUAACCGGUGGAAAAGGGAUUUAACCACUGGUUAAGCUUAACCAAGGUUUUGAGCAACCCAGUCCCGAAAGCUUCAUGUUUACAUACAAAUAUAUAGGGAAAAAUCUUUAAAAAUCUUCUUCUCAAGAACCACUAAGCCAGAAAAGCUGAUUUUUACAUGAAAACUUUCUGACAUAGUGUAGAUUCAAGUUUGUUCAAAUCAUGGCCCCCGGGGAUAGGAUGGGGCCACAAGGGGGGAUCAAAGUUUUGCACAAAAAUAUAUAAGGAAAAACUUUAAAAAUCUUCUUCUCAAGAACCACUAAGUCAGAAAAGCUGAGAUAUACAUGAAAGCUUCCUGGCAUAAUGCAGAUUCAAGUUUGUUCAAAUCAUGGGCCCCGGGGUUGGAUGGGGCCACAAUAGGGGAUCAAAGUUUUACAUACAAAUAUAUAGUUAAAAUCUUUUUCUCAAUAACCACUGAGCCAGAAAAGCAGAUUUUUACAAGAAAACUUUCUGACAUAGUGCAGAUUCAAGUUUGUUCAAAUCAUAGCCCCCGGGGUGUAGGAUGGGGCCACAAGUGGGGGUUUCAAAAUUUUACAUACAAAUAUAGGAAAAA